rnacentral:rRNA from 1 species
AGCAGCCGCGGUAAUUCCAGCUCCAAUAGCGUAUAUUAAAGUUGUUGCAGUUAAAAAGCUCGUAGUUGAACUUCAGGCCUGGCUGGACGGUCCGCCUUCCGGGCGAGUACUGUCUGUGGUCGGGUCCUACCUUCUGGCGAAGCGUCAUGGCCUUAACCGGCCGUGGCGGGGAACCAGGACUUUUUACUGUGAAAAAUUAGAGUGUUCAAAGCAGGCAAUUCGCUUGGAUACAUUAGCAUGGAAUAAUGGAAUAGGACAAUGGUUCUAUUUGUUGGUUUCUAGGACUGUUGUAAUGAUUAAUAGGGAUAGUUGGGGGCAUUAGUAUUCAAUUGUCAGAGGUGAAAUUCUUGGAUUUAUUGAAGACUAACUACUGCGAAAGCAUUUGCCAAGGAUGUUUUCAUUAAUCAAGAACGAAAGUUAGGGGAUCGAAGACGAUCAGAUACCGUCGUAGUCUUAACCAUAAACUAUAGC